UGAUGAAGGCGUCGGACGGCAGCCUCCUGGGGGACCCCGGACGAACACCGCUCAGCAAGAAGGAGGGCGUCAAGUGGCAGAGGUCACGGCUCAGCCACCAGGCCCUGAUGCGGUGCUGCUUGGUCAAGUGGAUCCUAUCCAGCGCAGCUCCACAGGGCUCAGGACCUGCACUGGGACUUAGAUCAUUACCUGUACUGGUUCUCAGGUCUUUGGACUCAGACUGAAUUACAUCAUUGACUUUCUGGACUCUCCAGUUUGCAAACAGAUCAGAGAACUUUCCAGCCUCCACAGUCAUGUAAGUCAAUUCCUUCUAUGUCUCUAUCUAUCUAUCUAUCUAUCUAUCUAUCUAUCUAUCUAUCUAUCUAUCUAUGUAUCUACUGUCUCUCUGGGAAACCCUGAUUAAUGCAAAAUGUACACAACAAUUUCCUGUUUUUAUAAUUUAUUUGUUAAUUAUUAAAUCUUCAGAUGCUGUAAGAAGCAUUUCUCACAAUGCCCACCUCAUUGUUUGUAAAGCAGUCAUAUAGUCAAGCCUUCAAUUGUCUUAAAAACAUUCAUUUUCUUUGCUGUAUAUCAAUAAUCAAAGUUUCUAAAAAUGCAUCUAUAGUAGCUACAUGCUUUUAUAAAUCAAUUUUCUCUGUUCCAGUUGUUCCUCCUUAAAUACAUGGAUAAAGCAAUAUGUAUAAAGAGAUUAGUUAUUGGGAUUAAAUUCAAAGUUCUACCAGGAAGUCAAAUAAAUAAUGUAUAAGAUG